GAUGAACGCUGGCGGCGUGCCUAAUACAUGCCAGUCGAGCGAACAGACGAGGAGCUUGCUCCUCUGACGUUAGCGGCGGACGGGUGAGUAACACGUGGAUAACCUACCUAUAAGACUGGGAUAACUUCGGGAAACCGGAGCUAAUACCGGAUAAUAUAUUGAACCGCAUGGUUCAAUAGUGAAAGACGGUUUUGCUGUCACUUAUAGAUGGAUCCGCGCCGCAUUAGCUAGUUGGUAAGAUAACGGCUUACCAAGGCAACGAUGCGUAGCCGACCUGAGAGGGUGAUCGGCCACACUGGAACUGAGACACGGUCCAGACUCCUACGGGAGGCAGCAGUAGGGAAUCUUCCGCAAUGGGCGAAAGCCUGACGGAGCAACGCCGCGUGAGUGAUGAAGGUCUUCGGAUCGUAAAACUCUGUUAUUAGGGAAGAACAAAUGUGUAAGUAACUGUGCACGUCUUGACGGUACCUAAUCAGAAAGCCACGGCUAACUACGUG
rnacentral:rRNA from 1 species